GGCCAAAAAGGGGAGCGAGUGAAUGAGUGGGUGAGUGGGUCAGCGGAGAAGUGCGAGUAAGGGGAGCGAGUGGGUGAGGUGGUUUAGGGAUAGGGCGCCGCCGCUGCGUGGAGGGGGAGUGAGCGCAGCCGCUUAGUUGGCGCAGCGGCGGGAAGAGGAGUCCGCAGCGGCGGCCCGGAAGAGCAGACGCAGUAGAGAGGGAGAGCGGACGUAGGAGUCGCGGUGUCAGCUCGGUUUCAACCUAUAAAAUCGCUCCAGCUCAUCCUCGCACUCUUCGCGCCCGUGCUGCCGGAACAGGACGAGCUCCUUCCGCCGCUGCCUACGAUCGCGAGGAGCGGCGGUAGCUGGACGUUCCUCCUCGCGGCACAACCUGCGACGGUAGAGGCUGCGACGACCAUGAGGAGGCAGCGAUGCUCACGGGACAGUGGACGUGGGUCUACAUGACACCAGUUCUUGACGAGAGACGGCGCCCUCAUCUAACCUUUCCGACGACGACGGUGAUGGUGAGCGGCUAAGCCCGUACCAUUUCUGGUGAGCCAACGUGAUGAGGUACACAUCUACUGACUUGAACCCACACUCGUAAAACUACGGAGACUUAAAUCAUUUAAGUCAUGAGUGUCCUCAUGUAAGGGGGAUCUCAUAAACAUGAUGUCCUCAUGAAAGUCAUGACAUCAUCAUGAACAUAACAAAGAAUCUCAUAAACGAACCUCAUUUAUAACAUCAAAUUGACUUUAGUUGUAAAGACUUUUAGUACAAAUAGUUACCCAACAUUCAUGACUUUAGUUGUAGAGACUUUAGUACAAAAAGUACGACAUCAUAAGAAAAACAGUCCUAAAAUCAUGAGAACGAACCGAGUUUGGUUUGACUAAGACGACAUUAUGAGUACAACAUCAUAAAAAAAUAGUACGACCUCUUGAAACUAACUAGAUCACCCGAGUUUGGUAUGACUAAAAAUCUCAUAUGAGGUACAAUGAAGGUAAAAUCUCGUGUAAGAACCUCACCUAGACGUAAAGUCUUUCAAUUGUUCACCCUCAUGUACCUCAUGAUGUAAAAUUCAGCUCCUCUUCUACCACGGACGAGGCACUACUACGGUGGUCGUGGAUGCUGAAGGAGCUGGUGGUGGUGGUACUACUGCUGAAGGAGCUUGCACCGUCCACUCCUCCUCCCAAUGGUCUCCGACCUCCUUUUACUCUCGUCCCUGACGGGCGGCUCGUAGGGGUCGGCCAUCGUUCCCUGUUCCCUCGUCAUCCGUCAUGCAUGGAGGUAAUAAUCUCAAUUUACAGUACAGACCUGACUGGAAAGGAAGAAGGACCCGUCGGUUGUGAAACAUCAACCUUUAUCAUAGUCAAAUGUGAGGACUACUUCACCAUUUUUAUGUAUUAACUCUUUAUCUAAAUGGGACUAUUAACGAACGUGACGUGUGAAGGAAUGUAAACUUAAACGUCUACUAAGAAGUUUACCCUCUACAAGGUUUUAAAUCACUAAUGGACUACAAAGUUUACUACUAGUCCUACUAACUGUUCCUUCUUUACAAGGUGUCCGAACGAUUGACUAAGUAGCCCCAAACCACCAUACAAGGCAUGUUCUUGGAUGUUAUUUUUGUGUAACUACUGAGUCUUAGUUUUCUUAUUAGUCUCUUGGUAAUUAGAUCUAUUCUAGUAACAACAUACGUCGUAAGAAAAAAGAUCGUUUCCCUAGAUUUGACUCGAGUACAUAUUCAACGUUGGUGUUUCCCUAGGGUACCGGAGUUAGGAGUAGAGGCAGAGAGAUAGGACUAGACUAAGAGAGGCAGAACUUGGUUUAUCUCUUUUCUCCCCUCUACUUGGACUCCCUCCUUCCGCUAGCGUACCACCGCUUGCGUCCUCCUUGGCCUCCUGCCCUCGUGCCACCAACUACGGAUCCCAAAUCGCGUCCAGCACCGCCGCAGAGGAGACCCUCCAGCCGCCGCACGCUUCCGCUUCCGCAUGGAGUCGUCUCCACAGGUCUACCGCUGGGUCUCCAGGUGUUGCUACCGCCGCCGCGGAGGAAACCCUGGAGCUGCUGCCGCGGAGGUGC
rnacentral:rRNA from 1 species